UGUUACUCCAAAAGGAAUACGCCUGAAC
rnacentral:piRNA from 1 species